rnacentral:rRNA from 1 species
AUUGAACGCUGGCGGCAGGCCUAACACAUGCAAGUCGAACGGUAGCACAGAGAGCUUGCUCUCGGGUGACGAGUGGCGGACGGGUGAGUAAUGUCUGGGAAACUGCCUGAUGGAGGGGGAUAACUACUGGAAACGGUAGCUAAUACCGCAUAACGUCGCAAGACCAAAGAGGGGGACCUUCGGGCCUCUUGCCAUCAGAUGUGCCCAGAUGGGAUUAGCUAGUAGGUGGGGUAACGGCUCACCUAGGCGACGAUCCCUAGCUGGUCUGAGAGGAUGACCAGCCACACUGGAACUGAGACACGGUCCAGACUCCUACGGGAGGCAGCAGUGGGGAAUAUUGCACAAUGGGCGCAAGCCUGAUGCAGCCAUGCCGCGUGUAUGAAGAAGGCCUUCGGGUUGUAAAGUACUUUCAGCGGGGAGGAAGGUGUUGUGGUUAAUAACCGCAGCAAUUGACGUCACCCGCAGAAGAAGCACCGGCUAACUCCGUGCCAGCAGCCGCGGUAA